GACGAACGCUGGCGGCGUGCUUAACACAUGCAAGUCGAACGGAGUGGCGAACGGGUGAGUAACACGUGGGUGACCUGCCCUGCACUUCGGGAUAAGCCUGGGAAACUGGGUCUAAUACCGGAUAGUGUGGGAUGGGCCCGCGGCCAAUCGGCUUGUUGGUGGGGUAAUGGCCUACCAAGGCGGCGACGGGUAGCCGGCCUGGGAGGGUGGACGGCCACCUUGGGACUGCGACACGGACCAGACGCGUACGGUGGGCAGCAGGGGGGAAUAUUGCACAAUGAGCGGAAGCGUGAUGCAGCGACGCCGGGUGGGGGAUGACGGCCUUCGGGGUGGAAACUCCGUUCACCAUCGACGCGGUAGAUGGAGAAGAAGCACCGGCUAACUACGUGCCAGCAGCCGCGGUAAUAC
rnacentral:rRNA from 1 species